UGUUCGAGCGUCAUUACACCCCUCAAGCCAGGCUUGGUCUUGGGCGUCGCCCCUCACCCGGCGUGCCCUAAAAUCAGUGGCGGCGCUGUCGUGGCCCCGAGCGUAGUAGAAACCCUCGCUACGGGACCCGGCAGGCGCUGGCCAGCAACCUCCACUCCACGUUUGACCUCGGAUCAGGUAGGGAUACCCGCUGAACUUAA
rnacentral:misc_RNA from 1 species